rnacentral:lncRNA from 1 species
CACGGUGGGCGUCCUUGCUGCCCUCAUCACAUCACCCUCUGCCCGGCGAAUGGGCCAUGAUGUCACGUGCCGCCGCGGUGCCAAACCAAACGAGGCACAAACCUCACCUCCGCUGGAUGAGCUCAUAUGCGGAGGAUAUACUACCUAGGCCUAGGCCUUGCGUAGUUGGCAAAAUUUUUAGAUUUUAAAGCCUUGUUUACUUUCACCCAAAAUUAAAAAACUUUUCA